rnacentral:rRNA from 2 species
UUAAAUUGAAGAGUUUGAUCAUGGCUCAGAUUGAACGCUGGCGGCAGGCCUAACACAUGCAAGUCGAACGGUAACAGGAAGCAGCUUGCUGCUUUGCUGACGAGUGGCGGACGGGUGAGUAAUGUCUGGGAAACUGCCUGAUGGAGGGGGAUAACUACUGGAAACGGUGGCUAAUACCGCAUAACGUCGCAAGACCAAAGAGGGGGACCUUCGGGCCUCUUGC